rnacentral:rRNA from 1 species
GAUGAACGCUGGCGGCGUGCCUAAUACAUGCAAGUCGAGCGAACAGACGAGGAGCUUGCUCCUCUGACGUUAGCGGCGGACGGGUGAGUAACACGUGGAUAACCUACCUAUAAGACUGGGAUAACCUCGGGAAACCGGAGCUAAUACCGGAUAAUAUAUUGAACCGCAUGGUUCAGUAGUGAAAGACGGUUUUGCUGUCCCUUAUAGAUGGAUCCGCGCCGCAUUAGCUAGUUGGUAAGGUAACAGCUUACCAAGGCAACGAUGCGUAGCCGACCUGAGAGGGUGAUCGGCCACACUGGAACUGAGACACGGUCCAGACUCCUACGGGAGGCAGCAGUAGGGAAUCUUCCGCAAUGGGCGAAAGCCUGACGGGGCAACGCCGCGUGAGUGAGAAAGGGCUUCGGAUCGUAAAACUCUGUUACUAGGGAAGAACAAAUGUGUAAGUAACUAUGCACGUCUUGACGGUACCUAAUCAGAAAGCCACGGCUAACUACGUG